rnacentral:rRNA from 1 species
GACGAACGCUGGCGGCGUGCUUAACACAUGCAAGUCGAACGGAAAGGCCCUGCUUUUGUGGGGUGCUCGAGUGGCGAACGGGUGAGUAACACGUGAGUAACCUGCCCUUGACUUUGGGAUAACUUCAGGAAACUGGGGCUAAUACCGGAUAGGAGCUCCUGCUGCAUGGUGGGGGUUGGAAAGUUUCGGCGGUUGGGGAUGGACUCGCGGCUUAUCAGCUUGUUGGUGGGGUAGUGGCUUACCAAGGCUUUGACGGGUAGCCGGCCUGAGAGGGUGACCGGCCACAUUGGGACUGAGAUACGGACCAGACUCAUACGGGAGGCAGCAGUGGGGAAUAUUGCACAAUGGGCGGAAGCCUGAUGCAGCAACGCCGCGUGCGGGAUGACGGCCUUCGGGUUGUAAACCGCUUUCGCCUGUGACGAAGAGUGAGUGACGGUAAUGGGUAAAGAAGCACCGGCUAACUACGUG